rnacentral:rRNA from 1 species
AUUGAACGCUGGCGGCAUGCUUUACACAUGCAAGUCGAACGGCAGCGCGGGCUUCGGCCUGGCGGCGAGUGGCGAACGGGUGAGUAAUGCAUCGGAACGUGCCCAGUAGUGGGGGAUAGCCCGGCGAAAGCCGGAUUAAUACCGCAUACGACCUGAGGGUGAAAGCGGGGGACCGAAAGGCCUCGCGCUAUUGGAGCGGCCGAUGUCGGAUUAGCUAGUUGGUGGGGUAAAGGCUUACCAAGGCGACGAUCCGUAGCUGGUCUGAGAGGACGACCAGCCACACUGGGACUGAGACACGGCCCAGACUCCUACGGGAGGCAGCAGUGGGGAAUUUUGGACAAUGGGGGCAACCCUGAUCCAGCCAUGCCGCGUGCGGGAAGAAGGCCUUCGGGUUGUAAACCGCUUUUGUUCGGGAAGAAAUCCUCUGGGCUAAUACCCCGGGGGGAUGACGGUACCGGAAGAAUAAGAACCGGCUAACUACGUG